ensembl:lncRNA
GUAACACAGGUGAGGAAACAUGAAGGAAGUUCUCCUCGGGGUUUAGCCUCAGCUUGCUGGGAGGUUACUCUAUCAAUCAACUACUUCACUAGUCAGUCUCUGUACUUCUCUCAAUAAACAUUGAUUCGUGUCAGUAAAGUGUCUUGCACUGCUAAGACCUAGAGGAAAAAAAGAAGGAGAUAGAAGCUUUCUGGAGAAGACUGCUCAGUGGUCUGCUGGGAAGGCACGGAUGUACCACAUGGACCAUUAGAUUGCAUCUGACAAAGGCACAUCAGUGGGGAUGUACACUCUCUCACCCAGGGCUGAGGGAAUGUAUGAAACCCACAGAAGACGAGGAACCAAGUACAUCGGGGAUGACUCCUUGAUUUCUUAACCGGGCUCCAUCACUGGCUGCUUAUGUAACCCAGGCAAGACCUUCUUUGAAGCCAAUCACAUUCCGUGAUUAUGGAUUUUUUAAUCUAAUCAUAGUCCAUGAAUAUCCCAAUUUUCAUUUUCCCACCAAUUGCACCACGCUGCUGGAUCACAAGAUGUCUCAGCAGUAAAGAACUCACCUGCAGUGCAGAAGACUCAGGAGAUGCAGGCUCAGUCCCUGGGUUGGAAAGAUCCCCAGGAGGAGGGCAUGGCUACCCACUCCAGUAUUCCUGCCUGGAGAAUCCCAUGGACAGAGGAGCCUGGAAGGCUGCAGUCCACAGGGUUGCAAUGGAAGUGACUGAGUACACACAUAUAAGGGUCGUUUAUUAAGUACGAAAGCAGGACUUGAACCCAAGGCUCUGGAUCCAAGGUCCUCGUUCUUAACCUGGGGGCUUUGAUGCCCCUCAUUUCCCCUUCCAGCCACUUUCCUUCUGAGAUCCAGCCCCUCAACAAGUCUGUUCUCUCUCUGAUGACCUAGAGAUGACUGGCUCCUCCAUAUCCACUUGCUAGCUCUGGUCCAGAGCUGAACAGCAGGUGGAGCUGGGAUUCUUGAGAUGGGUGUAAGAGCU